ensembl:lncRNA
CGCAGAGAGUCGGACACGACCGAAUCAACUGAGCAGACGUGCAUAGAUGAGUAGCCAGAAUAUUGAGCAGCGCAUAAAAUGAACUUCUGUAACAACCCACUCAGAAUGGAAUGUUGAGCUGAAUGGAAUGGUGACAAAGCGUAGAGACGAUAGAAUAGAUGAUAGAAUACAGUGAAGAAUGAUAGCAUCAGGACUCAUCUGUGCCGCAGGGCUAUCACAUUUUCACUGCAAACUGCAAGUGCUUUGCCUCCUUUACAUGGAAAAGAGGAACUAAAUUGAUCUACUUAGGCAAUGACACAGUGCCGAAAGGACACAAAGAACACGGACAUAUUUUCCGGAGCUCAGGUGGAUAGCUAAUGGACUGGAGAAGCUUUCAACUCAACUGGAGCGAUACAUAAAGGGAAAACUUAAUUACAGUUAGGAUUCAGUGGGUUAACUGGAUAAACAAGUAGCCUCUGUAUUUCGAAGUAUCUAAGACACUAUUGACUGUAAGAUGCACCAUUGUUUUAUGUACCUCUGAGGAGAAAAAGUGCUG